CUGCAGCCAGUGGAACCUACUGUGUUCUCUUCUCUCAUGGAAACUAUUUGCUAUGACUAUAAACAGUAGCCUCGUUGGUAGUGUCAGAAGCUUGUGGCUUGUAUAAAAUUUCCUCAAGGGGCUUGAAUACAAGC